rnacentral:rRNA from 1 species
AAGUCGAGCGAACUGACGAGGAGCUUGCUCCUGUUGACGUUAGCGGCGGACGGGUGAGUAACACGUGGGUAACCUACCUAUAAGACUGGAAUAACUCCGGGAAACCGGGGCUAAUGCCGGAUAACAUAUCGAACCGCAUGGUUCGAUAGUGAAAGACGGUCUUGCUGUCACUUAUAGAUGGACCCGCGCCGUAUUAGCUAGUUGGUGAGGUAACGGCUCACCAAGGCAACGAUACGUAGCCGACCUGAGAGGGUGAUCGGCCACACUGGAACUGAGACACGGUCCAGACUCCUACGGGAGGCAGCAGUAGGGAAUCUUCCGCAAUGGGCGAAAGCCUGACGGAGCAACGCCGCGUGAGUGAUGAAGGUCUUCGGAUCGUAAAGCUCUGUUGUUAGGGAAGAACAAAUGUGUAAGUAACUGUGCACAUCUUGACGGUACCUAACCAGAAAGCCACGGCUAACUACGUGCCAGCAGCCGCGGUAAUACGUAGGUGGCAAGCGUUAUCCGGAAUUAUUGGGCGUAAAGCGCGCGUAGGCGGUUUUUUAAGUCUGAUGUGAAAGCCCACGGCUCAACCGUGGAGGGUCAUUGGAAACUGGAAAACUUGAGUGCAGAAGAGGAAAGUGGAAUUCCAUGUGUAGCGGUGAAAUGCGCAGAGAGAUGGAGGAACACCAGUGGCGAAAGGCGGCUUUCUGGUCUGUAACUGACGCUGAUGUGCGAAAGCGUGGAGAUCAAACAGGAUUAGAUACCCUGGUAGUCCACGCCGUAAACGAUGA